rnacentral:rRNA from 1 species
UACGGAGGGUGCAAGCGUUAUUCGGAAUUAUUGGGCGUAAAGAGCGCGUAGGCGGCUUUGCAAGUCAGGUGUGAAAUCCCGGGGCUCAACCCCGGAAGAGCAUUUGAUACUGUGGAGCUUGAGUAUGGGAGAGGGAAGUGGAAUUCCUGGUGUAGCGGUGAAAUGCGUAGAUAUCAGGAGGAACACCGGUGGCGAAGGCGGCUUCCUGGACCAAUACUGACGCUGAGGCGCGAAGGCGUGGGGAGCAAACAGGAUUAGAUACCCUGGUA